GACGAACGCUGGCGGCGUGCUUAACACAUGCAAGUCGAACGGAAAGGCCCUGCUUUUGUGGGGUGCUCGAGUGGCGAACGGGUGAGUAACACGUGAGUAACCUGCCCUUGACUUUGGAUAACUUCAGGAAACUGGGGCUAAUACCGGAUAGGAGCUCCUUCUGCAUGGUGGGGGUUGGAAAGUUUCGGCGGUUGGGGAUGGACUCGCGGCUUAUCAGCUUGUUGGUGGGGUAGUGGCUUACCAAGGCUUUGACGGGUAGCCGGCCUGAGAGGGUGACCGGCCACAUUGGGACUGAGAUACGGCCCAGACUCCUACGGGAGGCAGCAGUGGGGAAUAUUGCACAAUGGGCGGAAGCCUGAUGCAGCAACGCCGCGUGCGGGAUGACGGCCUUCGGGUUGUAAACCGCUUUCGCCUGUGACGAAGCGUGAGUGACGGUAAUGGGUAAAGAAGCACCGGCUAACUACGUG
rnacentral:rRNA from 1 species